AGAUGUAGAAACAGAAGCUUGGACUAGAAGAAUCCUGCCCAGGAUACAGCCCUCCACAUAGGCCGCCUGUUCUGUCUGCACCACGAUUGAUGCCAGGACUGAGGCUGCAGCCUCUGGGCCCGGCCCUCAGAUACUCCAACAGCACUUCUUGAACUUCAGUGUGCAUCAGAUGGUUUGUUAAAACACAGGUUCUGGGGCCACCCCCCCCCAAGGGAUCCUGAUUCAGUAGGUGUGGAAUAGGACCCACCGUCUGCAUUUCUAACCAGCUCCCAGGUGAGGUGAUGCUGACCGUGUGUGGACCACACUUUGGCAUGGCUCUGCCCAUGGCCCUCCCCUGCUCUGGAUUCUCCAGUGGCUCCGUAGUACCAACUUCAUAAAUUCCAUGUUAUUCUGCAAUUCACAUGGCUUCCUGGAGAAGGAGGCCUACUUCAGACCCAGCAGGAUGUGGACCAGUUUAGAUGGAGGAGGUGGAGAGCGCAGAGAUUGAUGGUGAGCCUGGCAAAACCCCAAGAUCACAACGGUGGCGCCCACUCUGAGAGUCCGACGGAGGAGGAGGCCGGGACAGUCUGACUGUGGGAGCCAUGUGGGUGUGUGCCAUGCCCACCUGUGUCCCUUCCUCCGUGUCUCGGUGUCACUGAACCCAGAUUCUCACCUGCCUGUCUAUCUCAGGCAUCUUCCGGGUGUCUCUCUCAUCCCACCUCUGUGUCACUGUCCUAUUUUUGCCUGUCUCUGUGACCCCAUUUGUCUCUCUCCUCUCCUAUGUUCUUGUACUUCGAUCCCUGUCUGAGUUCCAGCCUCUAUAAUAUAAUCUCUAGCUGUCAGUCA